CAGUGGCUGCUUCUUGGUGGCCGCCGCCAUGAGGAAGCGUAGGCAGGGAAUGGUGGAUGCUAUGGUGUUCCGAUGGAUGGAUGCUGGCCCUGUGGUCGUGUGGUUUAUUCUGAUGGUGUUUGUGAUCGAGAGAUGAGCAGGUUUGUGGAUCGACGGAGUUAAUCGAAGUGGCUGCAUAGAGACGCCUAGGAAAGGGAUCUUUGUAAUUGCGCUAUGAAGUAAACAAAGAACGAAUGCUUGUUGCCUGUGCUAUCGUCGCAGCCAAGCCACCUCUCCGGAUCGAUAUGGACGGUAAAAUGCUUUCAAUUGGCUCAAGCAUCUCUCUGUACAUGUCGAACCUUAAACCCCGUCUGGUAUGUACAUAUAAGUAAUCUUUUUCACCUUUCUUUUCAA